ensembl:lncRNA ZFAND2A-DT ZFAND2A divergent transcript
GCAGCCGGGCGGGCGAGGAGCGGGGAAGCUGACUCAGGGCUGCGGCCGGGGUCCUGCGGGGUAGGAGCGCGAGGCCGGCCUGAGGGAGGAGGCCUAGCGACCCAUCCGGCGCCUCCCGCCCCGGGCACCCGCCCGCGGCCGCGCAUCCUGCGGGCCCCAGGAGGCCUCCAUCUCAAAACAACGUGUUUUUAGUGUUGACUCACCUGUGGAGUGGUCUGAGCCUGAAUGCCCGGGGCUGUGGCCACCGAGUGAACGGGCUGUGCUAAGGGGAAUUGCCACCUUGGGAAACCUGUGUAGUUGCGGCUUUUCUGAUUAAGUAUCAAUAAAAGUCUGACCUUGUGAAAAAAGCAAACGUGAGUGGCCCUGCUUAUGUUUCACCUUGCGUUGCUCAGUGAUAGUUCUGCAAAGUCGCAGGAAACCUGGAAUCAUCUAAUUAUCGUGAGUGUUGGCACAUGACAGCCUUCUUGCAAUCAAGAAACUACGUGUGGCCAGGAUCUCAUCCACUAUCACAGUUUCAGCUUUCCCCAAACUGGAAUGUGUCUUUGCAGACGCCCAUCCUUAUUAAAGGGCAAAGACUUCUCAUACACCUAGGAUGGAUCUUAUAUUCUUGGCGGGACUGCAGAGAAGGUGCCGUGUCCUGAGUCCUCAUGUCAGGGCACAGGCUUCCAGCCAGUUCUACCUGGGUUAUGUUUAUCUCAAUUCCCUGGUGGUAUUGGUGUCUGCUGGGUUUUGCCAGAAUGAAGACACCGUGUUUUCAUUUGUCAGUUGAUUCGUAUUUUCCAGGAAGACAUUCUGAGAUUACAGCAUUGUCUUAGUCAAGGUGCUGCAGAAGGACAGAACUAAUAGGAUAUAUGUACAUAUGAAAGAAAGUUUAUGAAGAACUGGCUCACACCAUCACAAGGCAAAGUCCCAUGACAGGCCAUCUGCAAGCUGAGGAGCGAGGAAGCCAGCAGUGGCUCAGCCGGAGUCCAACAGCCUCAAACGGAAUCCAACAGUUCAGGCUUCAGUCUGUGGCCAAAUGCCCAGAGACCCCGGAAAGCUACUGGUGUUAGUCCCAGAGCCGGAAGGCCAAAGAACCUGGAGUGUGAUGUCCAAGGGCAGGAGGAAUGGACAGAAGCAUCCAGCAUGGGGUAAAGACGAAAGCCAGAAGACUCAGCAAGCUAGCUUACCUACUUUCUUCUGCCUGCCUUGUUCUAGCCGCGCUGGCAGCCGGUUGGAGGGUGCCCACCCCCACUGAGGGUGGAUCUUCCUCUCCUAGUCCACUGACUCAAAUUUCAGUCUCUCUGGGAGCACCAUCACACCAGAAACAAUACCAGCCAUCUAGCCACCCUUCAGUUCACCAUCACAACCAUUGUCUUAUUCAUGAAACUUCUGCAGACCCACCUUAACCUCCAUCGGUGACUUCUACCUGAAGCCCUCUGAUUGUUGCCCAGUGGUGCUUUUUAAAAUAAUUUCCAUAGUUUCUUCUACACCUUUAGUUGGCAUUCUACUGUAAAGGAGAGAUUUUAUUUUCUUACUCAUUUAUUUGUUAGUUUAUAGUCACCACCAUAUGGAUGCAGAGUUCUGUCUCAUUCACUGGGAAGUAUUCUAUUGCAGUCAUGAUUUAUUUUGAUGUUCACAUCCCAGAGUUGGUGAGUGAGCGCCCCUUCACGCUGGCUCCCGAGUGCUGACGUGUCCCCGUCCUUCUCUGCACUUUUCCUUACCUCCUGGCCUCAGAUAUUCCAGGGUCAUUUGUUCUCUCCCUGCUCCAACCCUGCAGUCAGCCAUCUCCCUAGGGACGUUGGUUCCUUUAUGGAAGGUGGCAUUUAGAAGCCAGGAUUUGGGCUGAGCACUGUGGCUCAUGCUUGUAAUCCCAGCACUUGGGGAGGCCGAAGUGGGCGGAUCGCUGGAGGCCAAGAGUCUGAGACCAGCCUGGCUAACAUGGUGAAACCCUUCCCCG